CUCUUCAGAUAUUCUGGACUCAGCAGAAGAAUUCUCGGCAAAAGUUGAUAUCGAAGUUGACAGCCCAAACCCUACGCCCGUUCUUAGAAGUGUGAGUCUCCGAGCAAGAGCAGGAAUAGCUAGGAUCCACGCUCCCAGGGACUUGCAGACGAUGCAUUUCUUGGCCAAAGUGGCUUCCUCAAGAAAGCAGCACUUACCUUUGAAAAAUGCUGGGAACAUUGAAGUUUAUUUGGAUAUCAAGGUCCCAGAACAAGGAAGUCACUUUUCAGUGGAUCCAAAGAAUCUAUUCCUUAAACCUGGAGAAGAACAUGAGGUUAUUGUUUCAUUUACUCCAAAGGAUCCUGAAGCCUGCGAGGAAAGGCUUCAGAAACUAGCUUUAAGAAAUAAUUCUGCAUCUACAACUCAACAUUUACGACUGCUUAUUAGAGGACAAGAUCAGGACUGCUUUCAGCUUCAGAACACUUUUGGUUCAGAACAGCGAUUGACCAGUAACUGUGAGAUCAGAAUUCACCCAAAGGAAGACAUUUUCAUCUCUGUAUUAUUUGCACCUACUCGAUUAUCUUGCAUGUUGGCUAGACUAGAAAUCAAACAACUUGGAAAUCGAUCACAACCAGGCAUUAAGUUCACAAUACCUUUGUCUGGAUAUGGAGGAACAAGCAAUCUUAUUUUGGAAGGCGUUAAAAAAUUAUCUGACAGUUACAUGGUAACAGUGAAUGGCUUAGUACCUGGCAAAGAAAGUAAAAUUGUUUUUUCUGUCCGCAACACUGGCUCCCGAGCAGCUUUUGUUAAAGCAGUAGGUUUUAAGGAGUGUCAGAAAAAAGUUUUGCUGGAUCCUAAAGUAUUGAGGAUUUUUCCAGAUAAAUUUGUACUCAAGGAAAGAACACAAGAAAAUGUUACUUUAAUAUAUAAUCCAUCAGACAGAGGAAUCAAUAAUAAAACUGCAACAGAACUAUCAACUGUAUACUUAUUUGGUGGAGAUGAAAUUUCAAGACAGCAGUAUCGCAGGGCCCUGUUACAUAAACCAGAGAUGAUAAAACAGAUACUUCCAGAACAUAGUGUGCUUCAAAACAUUAAUUUUGUUGAAGCAUUUCAAGAUGAGCUAUUAGUAACUGAAGUAUAUGAUCUUCCCCAACGACCUAAUGAUGUUCAGCUCUUUUAUGGAAGCAUGUGUAAAAUUAUACUUUCAGUAAUUGGAGAAUUCAGAGAUUGCAUUUCUAGCAGAGAAUUCCUUCAGCCUUCUUCCAAAGCUAGCUUGGAAUCUACAAG
rnacentral:sRNA from 1 species